ACAAGCGGUGGAUUAUGUGGAUUAAUUCGAUGCAACGCGAAAACCUUACUACCCUUGACAUGCUAGGAACUUGCCAGAGAUGGCUUGGUGCCCGAAAGGGAACCUAGACACAGGUGCUGCAUGGCUGUCGUCAGCUCGUGUCGUGAGAUGUUGGGUUAAGUCCCGCAACGAGCGCAACCCUUGUCAUUAAUUGCCAUCAUUCAGUUGGGCACUUUAAUGAGACUGCCGGUGACAAACCGGAGGAAGGUGGGGAUGACGUCAAGUCCUCAUGGCCCUUAUGGGUAGGGCUUCACACGUAAUACAAUGGUCGGUACAGAGGGUUGCCAACCCGCGAGGGGGAGCCAAUCCCAGAAAACCGAUCGUAGUCCGGAUUGUAGUCUGCAACUCGACUGCAUGAAGUCGGAAUCGCUAGUAAUCGCGGAUCAGCAUGUCCGCGGUCGAAUACGUUCCCGGGCCUU
rnacentral:rRNA from 1 species